CAGUCGUACCGGCGGAUAAUCAGCCUUUCGGGUGCGAUUACUGUGGGGCGUGAGGAGCUUAGCCGCCUUCAUGUUUUGCAUAUUCGUGCACAUUUGGUGUACUUGUCCGUGUGGUGGGUUAACAUCAAUUUCGGUCGUCAUAAAAUGAUUGGAGGAAUGUAGCUUUGAUCUCGUAUCGAAGUGUUAAUAGACUCUGGUAGAUGUGACGGUUGGGAUUGAGGAUUGCAACGGAUACCCUUCGGGGCUACCGUCUGAAUCUCUGAAGUUG
rnacentral:rRNA from 1 species